UUCCACAGAAAGCAGAUAGCCAAAAGAUAUUUUUGACUGAAUGGAUGGAGGAAGAUGAGGAGUGAAGACCCCAAUUUCUUUCCCCUCAUAACGAAGUCAAAAGGGGACUCCAUUAUGAAGGAGUGUUGGUGAGAGAAUGUGGAUCCUUACAGCAAAUUGGAACUGUAUGAGAGAUGGAAGAUUUAAUCCAAGCUGUGCCAAGGCUCACCACCCUAGACAGACCUGAAGCAAAAAGAGGACAGGAAGGGACAGACACAUGUAACUUGCUCUUGGCCUACUG
rnacentral:lncRNA from 13 species